rnacentral:rRNA from 1 species
AUAAGCGCACAGGGCCGCAUGGCCGGUGUGAAAAACUCCGGUGGUGUAAGAUGGACCCGCGUCUGAUUAGCUUGUUGGCGGGGUAGGGGCCCACCAAGGCGACGAUCAGUAGCCGGCCUGAGAGGGUGGACGGCCACAUUGGGACUGAGACACGGCCCAAACUCCUACGGGAGGCAGCAG